AACUCACAGAUCGUGAGAUCGUGACCUGAGCCGAAGUCGGAUGCUUAACCGACUGAGCCCCCCCGGCGUCCCAACAGCACUUUUAAUAUAAUUCCCUGCUGAAAGCGUGUCUGAAAGCGUGUGCACCUUUAGCCGGUAGUCAGCUAGAGUGGACGGGUUGACCACCGGGCGCGACGUUGUUAAACCACCUCGUUAGCAACACCCGCUCCAUUUAAUCCAAGAACUAAAUCUUGCCAGAUACAGGUCAAAGCUUAGAGUUGCUGCGAAUGUGUCUAAUUCAGCGUUAAGAGAAAGGCUAAAAGCCCAGAGAGCAUUUCUGCUGCUGUUCCCCACCCCGCCCCACCCCGCCCCACCCCGUGAUCUAAAUGUAACGGAAAUGACACUCUACGUAUCAGAUAUUUACGAGCGCUCAUGGGCUCUGGAGUGGCCGCUAUCUUUCAUACUGCGAUGAAAGAGCCGUGAGGAAGAGAGUGUGAUGCGCCUCACUCGGAAGGGGCUGGAGUGUGAGCAGCUGUCUUCGCAGACUAUAGACUCGUUGAAGACGAGGAUGCAUCUUCUCCGUUCCCGAAGCCUCCGUUCCGAGCAGUACCCACCAGACACUUCGCACGGGCGGCAGGAUGUGUGCGAGGUGACUGUCCCCACCCAGGCCACAGCUCGUCUCCUCCCUGAGGGUGCUGGCAGGUGCAUCAGACGCUUUGAGAAUUCUAGAUCUGCGUUCACACACAACAUCCGUGCAGUGUUCUAGCAAGUUCUGAGCUCUUAGGCUGUGGUCGGUUGUGUGUUUUCCUGGACGUGCAGGAUUCUGGAGACCCACAGAGAAGACAGGAGACCAUGUGAGGGCUGGUGGCCCCCCCCCCCCCCGCCGCGCCAGUCCACUCUCUUCUUCGUUCUGGUCACCUAGUCUCCCCACAAAGACUACAUUUCCCGGUUCCCCUUGUGGCCCGGUGCGGCCACGUGACCCGGUGCCCACGCGAGAUUUGCGAGAGAACAAACUUGUGUGACUUGUCGCUUGCCCCAAAGGAGACGGUUGCCCUGGGUUUGCUGUCUUUCCCCCUUUCCCUCAGGCGGGACCCGGGACAGGCCCGCGACCGGCCUCAACUCUACACACAAAGACGUUAUCUCAGGGGGCGGCAGGGCAGUGACUCGGGGAAUCAGGGUCCCUGAAGGUGGAGCAGGGAUGCGCCCACCUGGAAUAGUGAGUCAUCGAGGGUAUUGGAUGCUUUGCUACGAGGACCCCUCCUGUCCGGGGACCUACCCCCCUCUUCCCUCCCUAAUGACGUGUACUUGUCCCAUGCACGUCAUGUUACCUGUGUAAUAUUUAUCAUUACGUGUUUAUCAUUCCGCCCAGCACCUAACACCACGGAACAUACGCGCUUUCCCUUAGCACGUCGUCCUUAACUAGACGGCGAGUUCUCGGAGGCGGAUCUGCGACCUUGUUCACCAUCACAUCCCCAGCGCCCAGCCAGUGCUCCGUUCACAGUCAGUGCCCAGUUCAUCUACCUGGAAUGAAAUACGGCUGUGUUUGGGAGGGGAGCCCGGGUUCUGCGGCCGACGCCUCUGUGAGGGAGGAAGAGGGUUAGAGGGGUCUUUUCCCACUUGGCCGGGGUCCGCAGGCCGGCUGGCCUCAUGCUGCUCCUCUUCUCGGGAGGAGUCCAGAUCGUGAUGUGUCCAGGGCGGUUGCUUGGUGGAAGGUGUGCGUGGAGUUUACCCCGGUCUGCGCCCGGGUGCUCCUGAGUCAACGGACUGACCUUCAUCCUCCUCACGCUCACCUGUAAAAUGAGUGCAACACACGCUUAUUUUGCCGCGACACGUUUCGGGCGGAUCGUGUCCCCUCAAAGCCCCAGCCCCAGCGCCUCAGGACGUGAUUACAUUCGGAGAGGGUUCAAAUCGGGUCGUUAGGGGGGGUGUCCUCACAAGCAGAGGAUGUGGAGGGAGAGACACAGAGGGACAGCUCAAGGACCCCGGGGGAAGGUAGCCAUCUACUCGUUGGGGAGAGAGGCCUCUGAAGAAACCAAACCCUGGGGGC